AUGGGCUGGGUGCAGGACCCUCAUAUUCAAGAGCUGCUUCUCAAGCAGACAGAUAACGCAAGAGCUGCCGCCCGAGAGAAAGCCAAGCUGGAUCAACUGGAGAUAUACACGGUUACUCCAUUGUAUGAAGGAUGCAGGCCCGAGGAUACUCGCCUAAAAGUAACGCUCAUGGCUCUGGAGAUGAAGGUAAAUCACAAAAUGACCGACGCAUGCUUCGACGAGAACAGGUCAUUCUGGCACGAACGUCUUCCCAAGGGGAACAAGUUCCCGACCAGUUUCGAGGAGGCAAAGAAAAUCGUGUGUCCUCUGGAUUUACCGCACGUGAAAUACCAUGUGUGCAUGAACAAUUGCAUCAUUUAU
rnacentral:rRNA from 1 species